rnacentral:rRNA from 1 species
CUACGGGGUGCUCCAGUGGGGAAUAUUGCACAAUGGGCGCAAGCCUGAUGCAGCAACGCCGCGUGGGGGACGACGGCCUUCGGGUUGUAAACCUCUUUUAGUAGGGAAGAAGCGCAAGUGACGGUACCUACAGAAAAAGCACCGGCUAACUACGUGCCAGCAGCCGCGGUAAUACGUAGGGUGCAAGCGUUGUCCGGAAUUAUUGGGCGUAAAGAGCUCGUAGGCGGUUUGUCGCGUCUGCUGUGAAAAUCCGAGGCUCAACCUCGGACCUGCAGUGGGUACGGGCAAACUAGAGUGCGGUAGGGGAGAUUGGAAUUCCUGGUGUAGCGGUGGAAUGCGCAGAUAUCAGGAGGAACACCAAUGGCGAAGGCAGAUCUCUGGGCCGUAACUGACGCUGAGGAGCGAAAGCGUGGGGAGCGAACAGGAUUAGAUACCCCGGUAGUC